rnacentral:tRNA from 3 species
GCGCGGUUAGCUCAAUCGGUAGAGCGUCCGCUUGACGUGCGGAAGGUAGCAGGUUCGAUCCCUGCACCGCGCA